UUUAUUUUGCGGGAUGGGGACCUCACCUCGACAGCAGGAGCCCUCGUUCAGGAUCGGCUGGUGGCAGAGGUGACACGGCCUCGGUUUCUUGAAGGUCUUGCAGCGGAACGCGUGACUCGGACCUUGCGAUUUUGGCGAGGGCAAAGUUGAGGCGAUACAAGGCAUCAAACAUUCACCAUUUAACAUAAGAUGACUAAUUGAUAUUUAGCCGGAGUCCGUGUAAUUCGAAUCAAGUUUUAGUGGGCCGCUGUCGUCGGAGGAUUUUCAGCAAAGCAAACUCGAAGUGCUGAAGUUUUUAUGCGGCC